GAUGAACGCUGGCGGCGUGCCUAAUACAUGCAAGUCGAGCGAACAGAUGAGGAGCUUGCUCCUCUGACGUUAGCGGCGGACGGGUGAGUAACACGUGGAUAACCUACCUAUAAGACUGGGAUAACUUCGGGAAACCGGAGCUAAUACCGGAUAAUAUAUUGAACCGCAUGGUUCAAUAGUGAAAGACGGUUUUGCUGUCACUUAUAGAUGGAUCCGCGCCGCAUUAGCUAGUUGGUAAGGUAACGGCUUACCAAGGCAACGAUGCGUAGCCGACCUGAGAGGGUGAUCGGCCACACUGAAACUGAGACACGGUCCAGACUCCUACGGGAGGCAGCAGUAGGGAAUCUUCCGCAAUGGGCGAAAGCCUGACGGAGCAACGCCGCGUGAGUGAUGAAGGUCUUCGGAUCGUAAAACUCUGUUAUUAGGGAAGAACAAAUGUGUAAGUAACUAUGCACGUCUUGACGGUACCUAAGCAGAAAGCCACGGCUAACUACGU
rnacentral:rRNA from 1 species